rnacentral:misc_RNA from 1 species
GACGAACCGUACGAACGUUAUUCGGAAUUACUGGGCUUAAAGGGUGCGUAGGCGGCGCAGCAAGUUGGAUGUGAAAGCCCUCGGCUCAACCGAGGAAUUGCGUCCAAGACUGCUGUGCUUGAGGGAGACAGGGGUGAGUGGAACUCACGGUGGAGCGGUGAAAUGCGUUGAUAUCGUGAGGAACGCCGGUGGCGAAAGCGACUCACUGGGUCUCUUCUGACGCUGAGGCACGAAAGCUAGGGGAGCGAACGGG